UGCAGUCGAGGGGUAUUUAUCUUCGGAUAGAGAGACCGGCGCACGGGUGCGUAACGCGUAUGCAAUCUACCUUUUGCAGAGGGAUAGCCCAGAGAAAUUUGGAUUAAUACCUCAUAGUAUAGUGAUACCGCAUGGUACUACUAUUAAAGUCACAACGGCAAAAGAUGAGCAUGCGUCCCAUUAGCUAGUUGGUAAGGUAACGGCUUACCAAGGCUACGAUGGGUAGGGGUCCUGAGAGGGAGAUCCCCCACACUGGUACUGAGACACGGACCAGACUCCUACGGGAGGCAGCAGUGAGGAAUAUUGGACAAUGGGCGCAAGCCUGAUCCAGCCAUGCCGCGUGCAGGAUGACGGUCCUAUGGAUUGUAAACUGCUUUUGCACAGGAAGAAACAACGCUACGUGUAGCGUCUUGACGGUACUGUGAGAAUAAGGAUCGGCUAACUCCGUGCCAGCAGCCGCGGUAAUACGGAGGAUCCAAGCGUUAUCCGGAAUCAUUGGGUUUAAAGGGUCCGUAGGCGGUUUAGUAAGUCAGUGGUGAAAGCCCAUCGCUCAACGGUGGAACGGCCAUUGAUACUGCUAGACUUGAAUUAUUAGGAAGUAACU
rnacentral:rRNA from 1 species